rnacentral:rRNA from 1 species
AACGAACGCUGGCGGCGCGCUUAACACAUGCAAGUCGAACGAGAAGGCGUAGCAAUACGCUUGUAAAGUGGCGAACGGGUGAGGAAUACAUGGGUAACCUACCCUCGAGUGGGGGAUAACCCGCCGAAAGGCGGGCUAAUACCGCGUACGCUUCCGAUCUCGCGGGAUCGGAAGGAAAGCUGUCCCUUGGGGAUGGCGCUCAAGGAUGGGCUCAUGUCCUAUCAGCUUGUUGGUAGGGAACGGCCUACCAAGGCAUCGACGGGUAGCUGGUCUGAGAGGACGAUCAGCCACACUGGCACUGCGACACGGGCCAGACUCCUACGGGAGCAGCAGUGAGGAAUAUUGCGCAAUGGGACGAAAGCCUGACGCAGCGACGCCGCGG